rnacentral:rRNA from 1 species
CUAAGAAUCUUCCGCAAUGGGCGCAAGCCUGACGGAGCGACGCCGCGUGAACGAUGAAGGCCGCAAGGUUGUAAAGUUCUUUUCGGGAAGGAGAAUAAGGGGAGCAGGCAAUGGCUUUCCGAUGCCGUGAAUCCCGGAAUAAGCCCCGGCUAACUACGUGCCAGCAGCCGCGGUAACACGUAGGGGGCGAGCGUUGUUCGGAAUCAUUGGGCGUAAAGGGCGCGCAGGCGGCGUAUAAAGUCUGGCGUGAAAGUCCCCGGCUCAACCGGGGGAUAGCGUUGGAAACUGGUAUGCUUGAGUACGAGAGGGGAUGGCGGAAUUCCAGGUGUAGGGGUGAAAUCUGUAGAUAUCUGGAGGAACACCGACGGCGAAGGCAGCCAUCUGGUUCAGUACUGACGCUGAGGCGCGAAGGUGCGGGGAGCAAACAGG